ACCACAUCAUAUAUGCUUUGGUUAAUUACACUGAGUAAGACUGUAAAGGCCUUACCAAAUCCACAGGGGGUCAAGGUAUAUGUCUAUUGCUGCUGACUUCUUUUCAAGCACUUUGGACAGCAGGGUCUAGAAAACAGCUAUCUACAGAAACCACCCAAAUAUCUUUCCGGUGUUAUUAGUGGACAGAACGAUCAGAAGCAUCUUCAAUCUAUUUUACUGCCGACAUGUUCCCAGAAGAAACUUCAGCUAUGAAUCAAGAUCAGGGUGUUAUAUAAGACAAAUGCAUUUUCUUUCUAAACUUUUACAUUGAUAGGCUCUAUACCAGAGUUGACAAUGUUUCCAGGACCUAGUGCUGCAUCUUCAGUAUCAGGCCUGCUGUCACUUGUGCCAUAUGGAGGAGAAGAGAGCAUCCACUUUGUGGCUGAUUCAGCAAAAUUCUUCUCCACCUCCUUACUGGAAACUUGGGUGUCUGACUUGCAACAACCACCUUCUGCUCUAACCACACUGCUAUCACUUAGCUGAAUGGCAGAAACUGGAGAGUCAGAAUCCAUUGGACCUAACCUGUCAUCAGGUUUUUUGACGAUGUUCACACAUACGCCAUCAUGCAGAUGUCCGCCACGCCUGAGAGAUGAUUCCUGAUCCGUUUUUUCAACCAAAACAGGCGAUGGAGGAUGACUUUGCUGUAACACACAAGCCUCUUGCACAUCUUUCUUCAGUAUCUUCUUUUGUAACAUGUUUGUACCAGGAAACACCAACAUA
rnacentral:misc_RNA from 1 species